GGAGGAAAAACACCGCCGAGGGAGGAUGCCUAGAUGCAGAUUAGGAGCCAGCAGUCACAUCAGUGAAAUGGUUUAAAAAAGACACUGGGCCAAAUCCCCAGCUUGGCUACAACGUGUGGAAAUGUACUGAGAUGGCACGAAAGUCAGGAGAGAUUCACUGUGUUUGCACCCGGGUAGAGAGGUCUUGAGGGAUGUGAGUGCCAGAUUUCAGAUGGAUGAAUAUUAACCCAAGGCUAUGGCAGAGCUAAUUCAGGUUUCCAUAAGGAGAAACCUUGUUUUCAUUGUUUGGCUGCUAGAGGGAACAUGAUGUUUCAUGGAGUCAGGACCAAGACUGGGCAUGGACAAAGAGGAGAUUUUGCAGGGAUUGGGAAGAUUUUACAAAUAAACAUUAAAAUUUAAAAAACCAAAACUUCAUCCAGACAUGAAGUCCAGCAGAAAUGUAGGAGAGAAAUGGACAGCACUGUCUGUAAAGGAUUGUGUAAGCAAGAAUGGCAAAAACAUGGUCUGAAUAAAUCCAUUGCAGUAAUGAUUUUCUAUACAUGAAUUUCCUACACAAAGUUAUAUGGGGUCAGUCUUUGGGGUUUCCCUGGAUAGCAGAGGAUCCUGAGCCUGAAAAAGGGAAGCAGAUUUUGUGAGGGAUUUGCAUAUCAUGGAGUGACUCUAGAUUGCAGAUUUUAAGCAUUACUAAAUUGGGGAAUAAAUUGUUGCUAUUGCUGUUACAUACCAGGAUAUCUCACUAAUCCACACAAUCCACUAAGUUGCUGUAGUUUUAGUCUUUGUUUAUUUUAGAUGAAAUUAUGGCCUGGACAGUUAAUUUUUUCUUGGUUUAUCCAUAUAAAUCAUAUAUAAAUAAGGUAUCAAACAGAAACCAAAACAUGACCUGUGUUUUUGGUACACUCCCCAUCAUGUGAACCUGCCAGUGAUAGAGCUCUGAACCCGGCUUACAAGACAAACACAAAGGCAAUGAAAAACCACAGAUCUUCUUGAAAAGUAGCCAGUUGGCAUUAAAUUCUCUUGCUUAAUGCUCUGGUUGGCCUAUUUUGCUUAUAUUUGAGACUGCCUAGCCAUUAUGGGAUUGCCUGCACUGGUCCUUUCCUCACAUCAAGCUAAUUACAAAUUAACUUAAGGCACUUAGCAGGGCUGAGAGGCUGGAGCUGGUCCUUUCUGAGUUUGGAAAUGCCCAUUUCUUUACAGUGGCUGAUUCCUAAAGUGAGGGGCAAACACACAGGAACCAAACAGCCUGGAACCAAAGUGGUCACACUGGCUUUUGAAAAAAGUGAGUGUCUCAAGGUAACUGACAGUCAGCUACCUGGAAAUAAAAGCCUCUCAUAUAUCCAAAGGUUUUCACUGGGAUUUUCAAGAUCUCCUGAGCAAUUUAAAAUCCUUGAAAGGAAUGCGCUAUAGCAUGAAAAAUAUAAGUAUUAUUAAAGAAUGUCUCUGAACUGAAAGCCAGCCAGUUUCAUAAAAAUGAGCUAAAAAAGCAAUAACAGGUAGUCUGUCUCCUGCUGGAUGCUGUAUGAACCGUAUGUUUUGUAUUUUGGAAGUCACUCUAAAACAAUGUUUUUUUCUUCACUAUUGCUGUUGGGAAGAACACUAGAAGAACUAUGUAUAAAUGAGAUUAAAGUAAUCUAAUUAAAAAAAAUAAACAAUGUGCUUUCAUCUUCAA